UCCCCCGGGGAGGUGUGGGGUGUUCCCUGGGAUAGUGUGGGGUGUUCCCUGGGGAAAGUGUGGGGUGUUCCCUGGGGAAAGUGUGGGCUGUUCCCUGGGAUAGUGUGGGGUGUUCCCUGGGGAAAGUGUGGGGUGUUCCCUGGGAUAGUGUGGGGUGUUCCCUGGGGAAAGUGUGGGGUGUUCCCUGGGAAGGUGUGAGGUGUUCCUUGUGAGGGGAACAGAGCGACCUCCAGGCUCCCGUAAGAACUCCCGAAGGGGCAGUUGGCCCAGUGAGACACAGCACAAACACAUCCUUGGGAGCAGCCUGAAUAUGAUUCAGCAAAAGCACCUUGCACAAGAGGAGCAACAGGAAGGGAGGCACAGAGGAACUGCAAGGAGAUGGUGCAGGGGGGAAGCUGACACCACUAGUGCUGAAAUGUGUCUGAAAGAGGGGAGAGUUCCCAUUUUUCAGAUAAUUUGUGAGAAGAUGCGUUUUUGAGUGACAAUUUGACAGGUUGAAAACUGUAUCUCAGUAUGAUACUGAGAAUUCUGGGGAAAGAAUUGCUGACCCCAAAUCAGGGCACAACACAGUUGUGGACACACGUGAGUGGAAUGGGAGGAGGGCAAGUGCUAUGAAGAUGGAUAACAGGGAAUAUGGCUUUGAGUAGGGAUUUCUUGGUGGAUCACAGCUUCUGGGAUUGGCUGUGCACAGAAGGGAGAACUAAGUGCCUUUCUCAUGGACAUAAAACAGAUCUUCAGAUUGUUUUCAGUUUUAUGUCAUAAUUUUACAUCCUUAGAUUCAUUUCUAAAAUCAAUUAAUUCCGUAAGUAAUCACUUUUUCAUGAACUACAUGUAAAUUUCACACUCAGCUUGCUAACUAGAUUUUCCUCUCAUCUGGGAAAUCAAUUUUUAAGAGAGUUAUUUUAUUUACAUUUAAUGACUGGUUAUAUUUGGUAUACAGAUAAUUGGUAAUUAAUAACUGUAUUGAUACUGGAUAUUCACUGCUGUUUGUUCUAGCAGGUUGUUAGACCAUUGGGCUGCAUGAUGUUUUCUUAAUUUCAACACACUCCAAAAAUUGAAAAAUAUGUGACAGCCCUGUGACCUGUAAAUUUAGAUGUUUGACAGGGAUACAUUUUCAGAAGGCAAAUUUAAUUUUGUGUGACACAAUUUGUAUCCAAACGUUGUGCUCCUUAUUUAUUAUCCACAAGCCAAUGGCACUGGUAGUGCACACAAAUGAAGUACUCAAAUAUUCACAUUAAUUUCAUUUUAUAAUUGCAAAUUAGUUGUGUUUGUAAUUUUAAAAGCCAAAUUUUCAGGAUGAUCUCCAGUCCUCCCAUAAUAAAUUCUGAGUUCUCACAGGUCCUUCCAUGAAAGAAAAAUGGUGGCAAGAGCUCCUGCCUGACUUUCAUCAAACCAGAAGCAUUUGUAUUCACAAAGUCAGUGCUUGAGGAAACCACAAAAGAGAUUGUUGGCUACUUAGCAGAAUUUGCUAUUUGCUGUGGUUUGUGUUUUGUUUUGGUUUUUUUUUAUUUGUUUAUUUGUUAGGGUGUUUUUUGUUGAAACAAUGUGUAGAGUCUUUUUAUUUCAAGAAGGAAAUAGAAGGCAGCACAACCUUGUGACCAACACUCAUGUUCCUACAUCAAAAUCAUGAGAGCUGCUAUUGUGUCCAACACUUGAUUCAGUGUCAAAUUCUUCUCAUGGCAAUUUUCUGGUCCCCAUUGAGCAAAUAUUCAAAUAAUCUGAUUUAUUUCCUUUUGGUCAACUGAUCUAACUUCCUUUCUCACUUGAAUUCCUGUCCUGGAGACCUGCCAAACAAUGACUCUCAGGAAUGAAACGAGUCAUGCCUCUGAGAUUCCUGUGGAACACCAAACUAGCACAACACAGUAAUUAGAGGUUUGAUAUUUUUGACGCUGUUACUAAAAGCUACUUGAACUUUAGAAGGAAGGACUAUUGCAAUUAGAUGUAACAUCAAGUUUAAUUUGAAUCUUCCAUGAUGUCUAUGAUUUUCCAAGUUUUAGGCAAUUUUCUCUGUAUCUCUGUUACCUUCCUUUACACAGAUACCACCGUGAGUCCCUGUUGUUAUAGUGUACUUUGUCACGUGUAUUUUCUUGUGGCAACAGGAAUAUGAGGUUUCUGCUGCAGGAAUCUCUGUAGAGCAAAGCACGUGGUGUGCUCAGGAAUUGGAAACAGCAGCUUUUGGUGUUGGUCUUUCUAUCAUCACUGUACAGUAGCCAAGUAUUAGCACGUAAGUGCUGUGGUACUCCUUGUUCAUGCUGUGUGAGGUGGUCUUAAGCAAGUUUGCUUGGGAAGAAGAUAUCCUGUAUUCCUUUGGGCAGUCAGCCUGAGCUUCUGGUGCUGUUAUUACCCCUGGCACUGUUUAGGAUGGACUCUUCAUCCCACCCCCACACUUGGCAGUGUGCACUGUAUCAAGCCUGAACUGGGCAUUUUUCCAUACCUUUGCUUGUUUUCAUGGAGCAGCACUGAAACAGGCUGUGCUGCUCCUUUCUGGGUGAAAAGUAUGGAUUACCAUCUACAAACCCCAACAUUGUUUGGGUUCGUUUUGAAACUCUCUCAGUGGGUAACUGUAACAGAAGUGGUCAAAUUUGUCAGGUCCCGGGAAAGCUGAUGGCUGUGCACAGGCCAGGGACCAACAGCAACUUCUCACAGUGUCUUUCCCUCAGAUCAACCACAGGACACCGUGGAGACCUGAACUAUUCCCUUGGAUAUAUGAUUGAAACCAUGCUCAGCUAAUCACAAAUAACCCCACACAUCUUAUUUCUGCAAAAUAUACAGUUUCCUAGAGCAGAAAUGGAAUCUCCUACAACAUA